AAAAAAUAUACAUUGAUAUAUGCAUUGCUUUUGAAACCUUGAUAACACAUAAAUUAUUUGCCUUAAUAAAUAAAUCAUAAGAUAAACAUGAAUGUACUCAUAUAUGAAUGUUUAAUGUUGAGGCAACAUUGCAACAGUUUUCAUAAUAACGGUUGCCUUGGUUUUUGGUUAACUGCCUUCAGCGCUUACAGCGCUUUGAUUA
rnacentral:lncRNA from 1 species